rnacentral:rRNA from 1 species
GACGAACGCUGGCGGCGUGCUUAACACAUGCAAGUCGAACGAAGAGCGAUGGAAGCUUGCUUCUAUCAAUCUUAGUGGCGAACGGGUGAGUAACGCGUAAUCAACCUGCCCUUCAGAGGGGGACAACAGUUGGAAACGACUGCUAAUACCGCAUACGAUCCAAUCUCGGCAUCGGGACUGGAUGAAAGGUGGCCUCUAUUUAUAAGCUAUCACUGAAGGAGGGGAUUGCGUCUGAUUAGCUAGUUGGAGGGGUAACGGCCCACCAAGGCGAUGAUCAGUAGCCGGUCUGAGAGGAUGAACGGCCACAUUGGGACUGAGACACGGCCCAGACUCCUACGGGAGGCAGCAGUGGGGAAUCUUCCGCAAUAGACGAAAGUCUGACGGAGCAACGCCGCGUGAGUGAUGACGGCCUUCGGGUUGUAAAGCUCUGUUAAUCGGGACGAAUGGUUCUUGUGCGAAUAGUGCGAGGAUUUGACGGUACCGGAAGAGAAAGCCACGGCUAACUACGUG